UACAGAGGUCUCAAGCGUUGUUCGGAUUCAUUGGGCGUAAAGGGUGCGUAGGCGGCGCGGUAAGUCGGGUGUGAAAUCUCGGAGCUUAACUCCGAAACUGCAUUCGAUACUGCCGUGCUUGAGGACUGGAGAGGAGACUGGAAUUUACGGUGUAGCGGUGAAAUGCGUAGAUAUUAGGAAGAACACCAGUGGCGAAGGCGGCUCACUGGUCCGGUACUGACGCUGAGGUGCGAAAGCGUGGGGAGCAAACAGG
rnacentral:rRNA from 1 species